rnacentral:rRNA from 1 species
AGUGAACGCUGGCGGUAGGCCUAACACAUGCAAGUCGAACGGCAGCACAGUAAGAGCUUGCUCUUACGGGUGGCGAGUGGCGGACGGGUGAGGAAUACAUCGGAAUCUACUUUUUCGUGGGGGAUAACGUAGGGAAACUUACGCUAAUACCGCAUACGACCUACGGGUGAAAGCAGGGGAUCUUCGGACCUUGCGCGAUUGAAUGAGCCGAUGUCGGAUUAGCUAGUUGGCGGGGUAAAGGCCCACCAAGGCGACGAUCCGUAGCUGGUCUGAGAGGAUGAUCCGCCACCCUGGAACUUAGACACGGUCCAGACUCCUACCGGAGGCAGCAGUGGGGAAUAUUGGACAAUUGGCGCAAGCCUGAUCCAGCCAUACCGCGUUGGUUAAGAAGGCCUUCCGGUUUUAAAGCCCUUUUGUUGGGAAAGAAAAGCAGCAGGUUAAUACCCCGCUGUUCUGACGGUACCCAAAGAAUAAGCACCGGCUAACUUCGUG